rnacentral:lncRNA from 1 species
GCACAGUCGAGGGGUGCUCGAUCAGGAGACAGGAGCGAUGAGCCGCCUCCUGUUGCUGUUCUGCGUGCUGGCGGUGCUGGACUGGCCACCCUCGCUCCGGGAGAUGACCUUCUGGGGUGCCGUCUGCACUGGCUUCCACAGUCCGCUCAAUGUCGCCGCCACUCCUGUGCCAGAGCCCGAUCCAGUGCCAGAGCCCGAUCCGGUGCCAGAGCCCGAUCCAGUGCCAGAGCCCGGUCCGGUCCCAGAGCCCGAUCCAGGCGAGAUAAAGGGGACGAUCGGCGUGGAUGAUCGAGGUCAAGUCUCGGGAAGCGUCUCUGUGACAUGGAGGUUCUAGCAGGUGUCAAUGCAGAAAUAUCAUCUCAGUCGUAACGCCAUCUUAAUAAGACUUUUAUGAAGCAGCUGUUUCAAGAGCAUGAUGAAAGCGUCCUGGCCAGUUAUGUGAGCGGAUUCUGGUUCCGUGCUAUCAAGUCAUUAUCAGUGAUGCAAUGCAUUUGUAGUGCAAGAGAAGAUUGAACAUGCCACGCUGCUGAUGAAACGCGUGUAGGAAGCUUACGACACAAUAAACGAAAGGAGACAAGGCA